rnacentral:rRNA from 1 species
UACGUAGGGGGCGAGCGUUGUCCGGAUUUAUUGGGCGUAAAGAGCGUGUAGGCGGCCAGGUAGGUCUGCUGUGAAAACUCGAGGCUCAACCUCGAGACGUCGGCGGAAACCAUCUGGCUAGAGUCCGGAAGAGGAGAGUGGAAUUCCUGGUGUAGCGGUGAAAUGCGCAGAUAUCAGGAAGAACACCCGUGGCGAAGGCGGCUCGCUGGGACGGUACUGACGCUGAGACGCGAAAGCGUGGGGAGCGAACGGG